rnacentral:rRNA from 1 species
CGGCGAACGGGUGAGUAACACGUAUGCAAUCUGUCUUGUACUGGGAAAUAGCCCUUGGAAACGGGGAUUAAUAUCCCAUAAAAUCUUAUCAGCACAUGCUGGCAAGAUGAAAGCUCCGGCGGUACAAAAUGAGCAUGCGUCCCAUUAGCUUGUUGGUGAGGUAAUAGCUCACCAAAGCUACGAUGGGUAGGGGUUCUGAGAGGAAGAUCCCCCACACUGGCACUGAGAUACGGGCCAGACUCCUACGGGAGGCAGCAGUAGGGAAUAUUGGUCAAUGGGCGCAAGCCUGAACCAGCCAUGUCGCGUGCAGGAUGAAGGCCCUCAGGGUUGUAAACUGCUUUUGUAUGGGAAUAAAAAAGCCCCUUGCGAGGGCUAUUGAAGGUACCAUAAGAAUAAGCACCGGCUAACUCCGUGCCAGCAGCCGCGGUAAG